rnacentral:rRNA from 1 species
CCUACGGGUGGCAGCAGUGAGGAAUCUUGGUCAAUGGGCGCGAGCCUGAACCAGCCAAGUCGCGUGAGUGAAGACGGUCCUAUGGAUUGUAAACCUCUUUUGUCGGGGAGCAAAAGACGCCACGCGUGGCGUUCCGAGAGUACCCGAAGAAAAAGCAUCGGCUCACUCCGUGCCCGCAGCCGCUGUAAUACGGAGGAUGCGAGCGCUAUCCGGAUUUUUUGGGGUUAAGGGGUGCGCAGGCGGAAGAUCAAGUCAGCGGUAAAAUUGAGGGGCUCAACCUCGUCGAGCCGUUGAAACUGGUUUUCUUGAGUGAGUGAGAAGAAUGCGGAAGGCGUGGUGUAGCGGUGAAAUGCAUAGAUAUCACGCAGAACUCCGAUUGCGAAGGCAGCAUACCGGCGCUCAACUGACGCUGAUGCACGAAAGUGUGGGUAUCGAACAGGAUUAGAUACCCUGGUAGUC